GUGGGACCAGUCAUACUUCAGAGGUCACUAGUCGGCUUCUGAUGAGAUCCAGAGGACUGUGGAAUCCAGGGUCCCUGAUAAGUCUAAGAAGUCUGAGACCCCUUCUCCCUAUGACAACAAGGUUAAGUAAAUACCUUACAACAUAACAUGCCACCUUGAAGUAGAGCAAGAAGAGGAAAGGCCAUCUCAAGGCUGUGUUUUCCUGAAAGGCAUAAGGUCAGCUAAAUGAGACUCUUGAAACCCAAAGGGAGAUUUAUAUGCUACAACGGACAAAUUCAAAUUUAAAGUUCCCUGUUUCCCUUUUUGCUGCCUGAUGGGAUGGGAGUUCAUGGGAAAGAUUUAUAAGAAAUAAGGAAGCUGCAUUUUUUGGUGUACAUUUUAAUAAUGCGUCAACUUGCAACCUGGCUAUAUAAUAAUUGGCGGCUAUUUAUUAUUAAAAAAUGCAUGUGAGAAACUCCUUCAUGAUUGACCUAGUUGAAUAUACAUCUGGUAGCUUGUGUUUGGGUCUUCUGGCCCAUUUGCUGAUCUGCUCCUCUUGGCAGGGUGGCAGCCUAGAGGGACCACAGCAGUUCAGGAUGCCAGCACUGGCCAGAGGAGGUCUCACUGGCAGUGGUGGGCUGAGACUUGACUUUGAAGGCACAGUACACAAGGUGGAGACAUAUGGACCCUGACUGGUGGAGAUCUCUCUGAGGAAGAUGGAAUAUAAGAGUCAGGGGAUAUCUUUAGCCAGAUGCCCUUCUGUAGAUCCUGAGUCCCAAAUCUAGCAGCUGCCACUUGUCAGGGUGCUUGGCAUCUAGAAUGCAUGAACUCUUACUUGCUUUACAGGCUGCAAAAAGAAAAAUGGGGUACUUUAAAUUUGAGAUUGUCCAUUAUUGCAUGUUAAUCUUAUCAGGUUUAAAGAGUCUCAUUUAGCUGACCCAGUCUCCAAAAUACUUCUUGCUGUGAGGAUACACUGCUGCUGGUAAGUCUUGAAUGUAGGGGAUGAGGGCAAAGGUUUGAACAUUUAACAAAGCAAAAUCAACUGCCUGUGUGCCUCCCCCACCCUUGCUCUCUCCCCUCUCCACAGAACAACAGGGCUGUGGAUGCUGCUUUUCCAGCCAAUGAAGAGCCACCUUCCAGCUCUGGGACCAAGAGCCAGGCGUCCAUCACUCCCCCUUCCGGAGCUCCCAUGGAAUGAUGGCCUGUUCUCCAGGAGGCUGCACCACCUCAUUAGCAGAUCUGUACUCACUGUUCCUUCUUUCCCUUCUCUCUUAAAUAGCUUUAAAAACAUAGUAUUCUUAGCAGAAGCUAGGCUGUGAGAAAACAUCUUUCUCGCCCACCCCUCCUCCCAUACACUGAAUCCUAACCAUUUAGUUCCGUCUUCAAUACAAUGUGGAAAACUCAAACGCCCAGAUCUGAAACCCCCAUAGCUUUGGCUUUUCGUUCCACCCCUCUGUAACAAGAGUGAUCGCCUCAAGACUCCCAUGCCCUGUGUGGUGGAGGUCUGAACAGCGGGCUUUGAAAGGGGUGCCCACGUUCCUUCCAUGGCUGCAUCCUGCUUCUUUCUGCUAAAGUCCUCCCCCUUCUCUCUUGACUUCUGUAAUCUAGGCCUUUUCAGAGGAAAAGAAAACAAAUUCUAAGGAGCUUGAAGCUCCAAUAUUGCUCUCAUUUGUUUCCAAAGUACUCCCCGCCUCUCACUCUAUUUCUGGCAACAAUUUCCAUUGGGUUUCAAAGCUCAGGAGCAGCCGCCACAGAUUUCUCUGAGAUUUAGGGCUGAUUUUUCACAUCGAUAGCUCAGGAGACUUGGAGGAUGUUGGCUUCGUGGCUGGUUCAGGUGCCUUGUGCUUCAGCACAGCAAGAUUCUCAAGAAUAUUCUGCAAAAAUGGCUCCUAGCAAAGAAAAUGACCUUACUCAUGGAACUAUCUUUGAGUUGUGGAUGGACACUAGUGCCUGGGAUGGGAUCUGUGUCCAGUUCCUGGUCAGAAGAACUUCCCUGGGACACUAGACAAGGCUCUUCCUGACCAUUCUACCUAGAGUCCGUCUACCCACAGCCAGAGUCACUCUCUCUUAGGGAUAGAUGAAAUUUCGAGCAGCCCUCUGCUAUCAGUCACAGCUUCACCCUCCUUGUGGUGUCAUAGGUGAAUGGCUGGGCCUGUGUCAGAACUCAUUUCCAGUUCACGGGUUGCAACCCAAGUGGCUCAUCAGCUUGCCAAAGCCCAGGCUCUGGAACCUAAAGGCUUCAGGAAGCUUCUGGCCGGAGAGAAACUUCAAGGACCACCCACUCCAUUUCCCAGCCCUUCUGCCACUGCCAUUCUGCAUUUCAAAGAUCAACUCUGCAUGCCAAUUUCUGUUCACAAAAUGACCCAGGGAGAAGGUUUUUCAGUUGUUGCCUGCAGUUUAUUUAAGGUGAAAACCUACAUUUA